CAAUAGCGUAUAUUUAAGUUGCUGCAGUUAAAAAGCUCGUAGUUGGAUUUCGGGUGGGAAUGGCCGGUCCGCCGUUUCGGUGUGCACUUGCUACGCCCACCUUGCUGCCGGGGACGUGCUCUUGAGUUCACGCUCGGGACACGGAGUCGGCGAGGUUACUUUGAGUAAAUUAGAGUGUUCAAAGCAGGCCUACGCUCUGAAUACAUUAGCAUGGAAUAACACGAUAGGACUCUGGCCUAUCUUGUUGGUCUGUAGGACCGGAGUAAUGAUUAAGAGGGACAGUCGGGGGCAUUCGUAUUUCAUUGUCAGAGGUGAAAUUCUUGGAUUUAUGAAAGACGAACUACUGCGAAAGCAUUUGCCAAGGAUGUUUNCAUUA
rnacentral:rRNA from 1 species